CCUACGGGUGGCAGCAGUGAGGAAUAUUGGUCAAUGGACGAGAGUCUGAACCAGCCAAGUAGCGUGAAGGAUGACUGCCCUAUGGGUUGUAAACUUCUUUUAUAUGGGAAUAAAACGUUCCACGUGUGGGAUUUUGUAUGUACCAUAUGAAUAAGGAUCGGCUAACUCCGUGCCAGCAGCCGCGGUAAUACGGAGGAUCCUAGCGUUAUCCGGAUUUAUUGGGUUUAAAGGGAGCGUAGGUGGAUUGUUAAGUCAGUUGUGAAAGUUUGCGACUCAACCGUAAAAUUGCAGUUGAAACUGGCAGUCUUGAGUACAGUAGAGGUGGGCGGAAUUCGUGGUGUAGCGGUGAAAUGCUUAGAUAUCACGAAGAACUCCGAUUGCGAAGGCAGUUCACUGGACUGCAACUGACACUGAGGCUCGAAAGUGUGGGUAUCAAACAGGAUUAGAUACCCUGGUAGUC
rnacentral:rRNA from 1 species